UGGGGAAUUUUGGACAAUGGGCGCAAGCCUGAUCCAGCAAUGCCGCGUGCAGGAUGAAGGCCUUCGGGUUGUAAACUGCUUUUGUACGGAACGAAAAGGCUCUGGUUAAUACCUGGGGCUCAUGACGGUACCGUAAGAAUAAGCACCGGCUAACUACGUGCCAGCAGCCGCGGUAAUACGUAGGGUGCAAGCGUUAAUCGGAAUUACUGGGCGUAAAGCGUGCGCAGGCGGUUAUAUAAGACAGUUGUGAAAUCCCCGGGCUCAACCUGGGACCUGCAUUUGUGACUGUAUAGCUAGAGUACGGUAGAGGGGGAUGGAAUUCCGCGUGUAGCAGUGAAAUGCGUAGAUAUGCGGAGGAACACCGAUGGCGAAGGCAAUCCCCUGGACCUGUACUGACGCUCAUGCACGAAAGCGUGGGGAGCAAACA
rnacentral:rRNA from 1 species